rnacentral:rRNA from 1 species
UACGUAGGUGGCAAGCGUUGUCCGGAUUUACUGGGCGUAAAGCGCGCGUAGGCGGGCCUUUAAGUCGGUGGUGAAAUCUCAGGGCUCAACCCUGAAACUGCCGCCGAAACUGGGGGUCUUGAGGUAUGGAGAGGGAAGUGGAAUUCCUGGUGUAGCAGUGAAAUGCGUAGAUAUCAGGAGGAACACCCGUGGCGAAGGCGGCUUCCUGGCCAUAAUCUGACGCUGAGGUGCGAAAGCUAGGGGAGCGAACGGG